CGUAAUAACCGGACGUAACAAACAAGAUGUAUGCCUAUCAACUGUUUAAAAGAUGGUUCUGCUAUCACUCUUGGAUGGACCUGCGGUGCAUUAGCUAGUUGGUAGGGUAACGGCCUACCAAGGCGAUGAUGCAUAGCCGAGUUGAGAGACUGAUCGGCCACAUCGGGACUGAGACACGGCCCAAACUCCUACGGGAGGCAGCAGAC
rnacentral:rRNA from 1 species